AGUUUGAUCCUGGCUCAGAACGAACGCUGGCGGCGUGCCUAACACAUGCAAGUCGCGCGAGAAAGCGGGGGCAACUCCGUGAGUAAAGCGGCGCACGGGUGAGUAAUACGUAGGUAACCUACCUCCGAGACCGGGAUAACCCUCCGAAAGGAAGGCUAAUACUGGAUGAGACCACGGAGCCUCGGCUCUGCGGUCAAAGGUGGCCUCUACUUGUAAGCUACCACUCAGAGAUGGGCCUGCGCACCAUUAGCUAGUUGGCGAGGUAACGGCUCACCAAGGCGAAGAUGGUUAGCUGAUCUGAGAGGAUGAUCAGCCACACUGGGACUGAGACACGGCCCAGACUCCUACGGGAGGCAGCAGUGGGGAAUCUUGGACAAUGGGGGAAACCCUGAUCCAGCGACGCCGCGUGGGUGAUGAAGGCCUUCGGGUCGUAAAGCCCUGUCGGGAGGGAAAAAACUCCUGCCGGUGA
rnacentral:rRNA from 1 species